AAAAAAAAAAGAAGAAGAAGAUGCAGGCCAACAAUGCAAAGGCAGUGAGUGCGCGCGCAGAGGCCAUCAAGGCCCUGGUGAAGCCUCAGGCCAUCAAGCCCAAGAUGCCAAAAGGCCCCAAACUCAAGCGGCUGCUUUCAUUGCUCACCGUAAGCUUGGGAAGCAGAUUCGAAGCUACAUGGCCAAGGGUCAGAGGCUCUGCCAACCAAAACCUAAGGUCCAAACCAAGGCAGAGGACAAAGCUCCAGCUAAGGCCCAGGCUUCAGCUCCAGCUCAGGCUCCCAAAGGUGCCCAGGCCCCUGUGAAGGCC
rnacentral:lncRNA from 1 species